rnacentral:tRNA from 1 species
AUUUAUAUAGUUUAAAAUUUAAAACAUUACAUUUUCACUGUAAAAAUAAAAAAAAUUUUUUAUAAAUA